UACGUAGGGGGCAAGCGUUGUCCGGAGUUAUUGGGCGUAAAGAGCUUGUAGGCGGUCUGUCGCGUCUGCUGUGAAAAUCCGGGGCUCAACCCCGGACUUGCAGUGGGUACGGGCAGACUAGAGUGUGGUAGGGGAGACUAAUUCCUGGUGUAGCGGUGAAAUGCGCAGAUAUCAGGAGGAACACCGAUGGCGAAGGCAGGUCUCUGGGCCACUACUGACGCUGAGAAGCGAAAGCAUGGGGAGCGAACAGG
rnacentral:rRNA from 1 species